GAUGAACGCUGGCGGCGUGCCUAAUACAUGCAAGUCGAGCGAACGGACGAGAAGCUUGCUUCUCUGAUGUUAGCGGCGGACGGGUGAGUAACACGUGGAUAACCUACCUAUAAGACUGGGAUAACUUCGGGAAACCGGAGCUAAUACCGGAUAAUAUUUUGAACCGCAUGGUUCAAAAGUGAAAGACGGUCUUGCUGUCACUUAUAGAUGGAUCCGCGCUGCAUUAGCUAGUUGGUAAGGUAACGGCUUACCAAGGCAACGAUGCAUAGCCGACCUGAGAGGGUGAUCGGCCACACUGGAACUGAGACACGGUCCAGACUCCUACGGGAGGCAGCAGUAGGGAAUCUUGCGCAAUGGGCGAAAGCCUGACGGAGCAACGCCGCGUGAGUGAUGAAGGUCUUCGGAUCGUAAAACUCUGUUAUUAGGGAAGAACAUAUGUGCAAGUAACUGUGCACAUCUUGACGGUACCUAAUCAGAAAGCCACGGCUAACUACGUG
rnacentral:rRNA from 1 species